UACGUAGGGGGCAAGCGUUAUCCGGAUUUACUGGGUGUAAAGGGAGCGUAGGUGGCAUGGCAAGCCAGAAGUGAAAACCCGGGGCUUAACCCCGCGGAUUGCUUUUGGAACUGUCAGGCUGGAGUGCGGGAGAGGUAGGCGGAAUUCCUAGUGUAGCGGUGAAAUGCGUAGAUAUUAGGAGGAACACCAGAGGCGAAGGCGACUCACUGGACUGUAACUGACGCUGAGGCUCGAAAGCGUGGGGAGCAAACAGG
rnacentral:rRNA from 1 species